rnacentral:sRNA from 1 species
ACGAGUCCUCAAUGACCUGCAUCCAGGAGC